GCCAGACUCCUACGGGAGGCAGCAGUGGGGGAUAUUGCACAAUGGGGGGAACCCUGAUGCAGCGACGCCGCGUGGGUGAAGAAGCGCCUCGGCGCGUAAAGCCCUGUCAGCAGGGAAGAAAAUGACGGUACCUGAAGAAGAAGCCCCGGCUAACUACGUGCCAGCAGCCGCGGUAAUACGUAGGGGGCAAGCGUUAUCCGGAUUUACUGGGUGUAAAGGGAGCGCAGGCGGCACGGCAAGUCUGGUGUGAAAACCCGGGGCUCAACCCCGGGACUGCAUUGGAAGCUGCCGGGCUGGAGUGUCGGAGGGGUAAGCGGAAUUCCUAGUGUAGCGGUGAAAUGCGUAGAUAUUAGGAGGAACACCAGUGGCGAAGGCGGCUUACUGGACGAUGACUGACGCUGAGGCUCGAAAGCGUGGGGAGCAAACAGGAUUAGAUACCCCAGUA
rnacentral:rRNA from 1 species